rnacentral:rRNA from 1 species
UACAGGGGGUGCAAACGUUGCUCGGAAUCAUUGGGCGUAAAGCGCACGUAGGCGGUCUGUUAUGUCGGAUGUGAAAGCCCUUGGCUUAACUGUGGAAGUGCAUCCGAAACUGGCAGGCUAGAGUACUAAAGAGGGUCGCGGAAUUCCCGGUGUAGAGGUGAAAUUCGUAGAUAUCGGGAGGAACACCGGUGGCGAAGGCGGCGACCUGGGUAGAUACUGACGCUGAGGUGCGAAAGCGUGGGGAGCAAACAGG